GGAGGGGGGGCGAGCGUUGUUCGGAAUUAUUGGGCGUAAAGGGCGCGUAGGCGGCCCCAUAAGUCAGAUGUGAAAGCCCUUGGGCUCAACCAAGGAACUGCAUCUGAUACUGCGGGGCUUGAAUCCGGGAGGGGAGAGUGGAAUUCCCAGUGUAGCGGUGAAAUGCAUAGAUAUUGGGAGGAACACCGGUGGCGAAGGCGGCUCUCUGGACCGGUAUUGACGCUGAGGUGCGAAAGCUAGGGGAGCAAACGGGAUUAGAUACCCCGGUAGUCCUAGCUGUAAACGAUGGGCACUUGGUGUGGCGGGUAUCGACCCCUGCCGUGCCGAAGCUAACGCAUUAAGUGCCCCGCCUGGGGAGUACGGUCGCAAGGCUG
rnacentral:rRNA from 1 species